rnacentral:rRNA from 1 species
AGAACGAACGCUGGCGGCAUGCCUAACACAUGCAAGUCGAACGAGACCUUCGGGUCUAGUGGCGCACGGGUGCGUAACGCGUGGGAAUCUGCCCUAAGGUUCGGAAUAACAGUUAGAAAUGACUGCUAAUACCGGAUGAUGCUUCGGACCAAAGGUUUACUGCCUUAGGAUGAGCCCGCGUAGGAUUAGCUAGUUGGUGAGGUAAAGCUCACCAAGGCGACGAUCCUUAGCUGGUCUGAGAGGAUGAUCAGCCACACUGGGACUGAGACACGGCCCAGACUCCUACGGGAGCAGCAGUGGGAAUAUUGGACAAUGGGACGAAAGCCUGAUCCAGCAAUGACCGCGUGAGUGAUGAAGCCUUAGGUGUAAAGCUCGUUUGCCCGGGUAUGAUAAGUGACGACGUAACGGAGAAAGUACGACCCCGGUACUAACCGUCCGUA